rnacentral:other from 1 species
UAUCCUCUGUGACUAUCGAGCAGGAUUCCUGUUUUUGAACCGAUACGCUUGAUUAAGGGGUUGGCUCGUGGUCGUUGCUGUUGUGCAGGCCCACAUUAUCUGAGUGGGAAGCCUGAUGCGACGCCCGCCUUUCCCACCUGAACCUUCGGGUUCAAACAAGCACCUGCCGAUAUCAUGGAGGUUUU